rnacentral:lncRNA from 1 species
GCUUUAGGCAGCCUGUGUGGAGCACCUUGCACAUGGGAAAUAAUGUGUAAAUGUUAAUUUUCCACUGCUUUUCAAAACAUUGAGAGUUUUGGCUUCUACAAAGCACAAAAGAAGUAACUCAUCAAUUCUAUGGCAUGGUUUGCUGAUUGCUCUUCAUUUUUCUGAAGAAUGGGAUCUCUAGCAAAAUGAUAACUGUUUACUUUACCUCCCCUUCCCCCACCAAAGGAAUUCCGAAGUAUUGCUCAUGUUCAAGAAUGGAAAUAUUUGUGGCACUCCCUCCAUUUGGAAGCUCCCUCACACUUUCCAGAGACUGCUCUUCUGAUUUCUUUCUGUCACUCUCAUUCCCACCAAAAUCCUUCUGA